GACGAACGCUGGCGGCGCGCUUAACACAUGCAAGUCGAGCGAAGCGGCGGACGGGUGAGUAACACGUGAGUAACCUGCCUUAGACAUUGGGAUAGCCUCGGGAAACCGGGAUUAAUACCAAAUGGUCUAAGAUGGACCCGCGGUGCAUUAGCUAGUUGGUGAGGUAACGGCUCACCAAGGCCACGAUGCAUAGCCGACCUGGGAGGGUGAUCGGCCACACUGGGACUGAGACACGGCCCAGACUCCUACGGGAGGCAGCAGUGGGGAAUAUUGGGCAAUGGGCGCAAGCCUGACCCAGCAACGCCGCGUGAAGGAAGACGGUCUUCGGAUUGUAAACUUCUUUAGACAGGGACGCGGUACCUGUAGAAUAAGCCACGGCUAACUACGUGCCAGCAGCCGCGGUAAUAC
rnacentral:rRNA from 1 species